rnacentral:rRNA from 1 species
AUUGAACGCUGGCGGCAUGCCUAACACAUGCAAGUCGAACGAGUGGCGGACGGGUGAGUAAUGUCUGGGAAACUGCCCGAUGGAGGGGAUAACUACCGGAAAAGGUAGGCUAUUCCCCAUUCCAUUGGGUUUGCCCAGAUGGGAUUAGCUAGUAGGUGGGGUAAAGGCUCACCUAGGCGACGAUCCCUAGCUGGUCUGAGAGGAUUACCAGCCACACUGGAACUGAGACACGGUCCAGACUCCUACGGGAGGCAGCAGUGGGGAAUAUUGCACAAUGGGCGCAAGCCUGAUGCAGCCAUGCCGCGUGUAUGAAGAAGGCCUUCGGGUUGUAAAGUACUUUCAGCGGGGAGGCGUUACCCGCAGAAGAAGCACCGGCUAACUCCGUGCCAGCAGCCGCGGUAAUAC